AUUUCACGAGUCACGAAAAGCAAAAUUUCAUUUUCACGAGUUUUAGAAACACCUGAGAAGCGUAACAAAGUCUGAAAUCUGGGCCGAGUUUUAAACGUAAACAUUCACAAGUUAGGGUAAAAUAUUGGUAAAUUCAGGACCCUAGCUAGCCCUUUUAGCUCUUCACGAUUCACGGCACGCAUAUUAAUCACGAUUCACGGAAUAGUAUUUCUUCAAAUCACGAAUCACGAAGCACGAAUAGUUGCUAAUCACGAGUCACGAAAAUACCCUUGCCCCCCCCCCCCCCCCCCUCUCAUAAUGGCAGACCCGAAAACUGUGUCUAUAUGAUUUCGCAUGGCUCAAGUAAAGCAUUGUCCUCUAUAGCCUCCUCCGCAGGCAACUGUGUAGUUCUGCAACGUUAUUAACCAUAAAAGAUUUAUCAGGAACGUAGAAAAUACAAGGAAAUACUAG